AUGGGGGGACCAUCCUCCAAGGCUAAAUACUCCUGACUGACCGAUAGUGAACCAGUACCGUGAGGGAAAGGCGAAAAGAACCCCGGCGAGGGGAGUGAAAAAGAACCUGAAACCGUGUACGUACAAGCAGUGGGAGCACCUUCGGGUGUGACUGCGUACCUUUUGUAUAAUGGGUCAGCGACUUAUAUUCUGUAGCAAGGUUAACCGUAUAGGGGAGCCGCAGGGAAACCGAGUCUUAACUGGGCGUUAAGUUGCAGGGUAUAGACCCGAAACCCGGUGAUCUAGCCAUGGGCAGGUUGAAGGUUGGGUAACACUAACUGGAGGACCGAACCGACUAAUGUUGAAAAAUUAGCGGAUGACUUGUGGCUGGGGGUGAAAGGCCAAUCAAACCGGGAGAUAGCUGGUUCUCCCCGAAAGCUAUUUAGGUAGCGCCUCGUGAAUUCAUCUUCGGGGGUAGAGCACUGUUUCGGCUAGGGGGUCAUCCCGACUUACCAACCCGAUGCAAACUACGAAUACCGAAGAAUGUUAUCACGGGAGACACACGGCGGGUGCUAACGUCCGUCGUGAAGAGGGAAACAACCCAGACCGCCAGCUAAGGUCCCAAAGUCAUGGUUAAGUGGGAAACGAUGUGGGAAGGCACAGACAGCCAGGAUGUUGGCUUAGAAGCAGCCAUCAUUUAAAGAAAGCGUAAUAGCUCACUGGUCGAGUCGGCCUGCGCGGAAGAUGUAACGGGGCUAAACCAUGCACCGAAGCUGCGGCAGCGACACUAUGUGUUGUUGGGUAGGGGAGCGUUCUGUAAGCCUGCGAAGGUGACCUGUGAGGG
rnacentral:rRNA from 1 species